rnacentral:rRNA from 1 species
GAUGAACGCUGGCGGCGUGCCUAAUACAUGCAAGUCGAGCGAACGGACGAGAAGCUUGCUUCUCUGAUGUUAGCGGCGGACGGGUGAGUAACACGUGGAUAACCUACCUAUAAGACUGGGAUAACUUCGGGAAACCGGAGCUAAUACCGGAUAAUAUUUUGAACCGCAUGGUUCAAAAGUGAAAGACGGUCUUGCUGUCACUUAUAGAUGGAUCCGCGCUGCAUUAGCUAGUUGGUAAGGUAACGGCUUACCAAGGCAACGAUGCAUAGCCGACCUGAGAGGGUGAUCGGCCACACUGGAACUGAGACAUGGUCCAGACUCCUACGGGAGGCAGCAGUAGGGAAUCUUCCGCAAAGGGCGAAAGCCUGACGGAGCAACGCCGCGUGAGUGAUGAAGGUCUUCGGAUCGUAAAACUCUGUUAUUAGGGAAGAACAUAUGUGUAAGUAACUGUGCACAUCUUGACGGUACCUAAUCAGAAAGCCACGGCUAACUACGUG